AUACGGAGGGUGCGAGCGUUAAUCGGAAUUACUGGGCGUAAAGCGCACGCAGGUGGCUGGGUCAGUCGGAUGUGAAAUCCCCGGGCUUAACCUGGGAAUUGCAUUCGAUACUGCAUGGCUAGAGUAUGGUAGAGGGAAGUGGAAUUUCCGGUGUAGCGGUGAAAUGCGUAGAUAUCUGAAGGAACACCAGUGGCGAAGGCGACUUCCUGGGCCAAUACUGACGCUGAGGUGCGAAAGCGUGGGGAGCAAACAGGAUUAGAUACCCCGGUAGUCC
rnacentral:rRNA from 1 species